rnacentral:rRNA from 1 species
AGUGGAUGCGAGCAUCUUUGUGGUCAAGUUAUUAAGGGCACAUGGUGGAUGUCUUGGCUUCAGGAGCCGAUGAAGGACGUGGGAGGCUGCGAUAUGCCUCGGGGAGCUGUCAACCGAGCUGUGAUCCGAGGAUUUCCGAAUGGGGAAACCCAGCACCAGUUAUGUGGUGUUACCCGCAUCUGAAUAUAUAGGGUGUGUGGAGGGAACGCGGGGAAGUGAAACAUCUCAGUACCCGUAGGAAGAGAAAACAACCGUGAUUCCGUGAGUAGUGGCGAGCGAAAGCGGAAGAGGCUAAACCAUGCACAUGUCAAGCUGUCAGGCGUUGUGUGUGUGGUGUUGUGGGACCCGCCUUGGAAGAUCUGACAGUCUUCCGGGUUUACGCGUGUGUUAGUGGAACGCCUUGGGAUGGGCGACCGGAGUGGGUGAGAGUCCCGUACGCGAAAACACAUGUUAGUGAAUCUUGGUGGUGUUCCCGAGUAGCAGCGAGCUCGUGGAAUUUGCUGUGAAUCUGCCGGGACCACCCGGUAAGCCUAAAUACUUCCUGAAGACCGAUAGCGGACUAGUACCGUGAGGGAAAGAUGAAAAGUACCCCGGGAGGGGAGUGAAAGAGUACCUGAAACCGUGUGCCUACAAGCCGUCAGAGCCCGAGCACAUCCUUUGGAUGUUACGGUGAUGGCGUGCCUUUUGAAGAAUGAGCCUGCGAGUUAGUGCUGCGUGGCGAGGUUAACCCGUGUGGGGUAGCCGUAGCGAAAGCGAGUCUGAAUAGGGCGUCUGAGUCGCGUGGUCUAGACCCGAAGCGGAGUGAUCUACCCAUGGCCAGGCUGAAGCGUCGGUAAGACGACGUGGAGGGCCGAACCCACUUAGGUUGAAAACUGAGGGGAUGAGCUGUGGGUAGGGGUGAAAGGCCAAUCAAACUCCGUGAUAGCUGGUUCUCCCCGAAAUGCAUUUAGGUGCAGCGUCACAUGUUUCACCACGGGGGUAGAGCUACUGGAUGGUCUAGGGGCCUUACCGGGUUACCGAAAUCAACCAAACUCCGAAUACCGUGGUGUGAGAGUGUGGCAGUGAGACGGCGGGGGAUAAGCUUCGUCGUCGAGAGGGAAACAGCCCAGAACACCAGCUAAGGCCCCCAAGUGUGUGCUCAGUGGGAAAGGAUGUGGGAUUGCCCAGACAACCAGGAGGUUGGCUUAGAAGCAGCCACCCUUGAAAGAGUGCGUAAUAGCUCACUGGUCAAGUGGUCCUGCGCCGACAAUGUAGCGGGGCUUAAGCACACCGCCGAAGCUGUGUCAUUCAUGCAAUACAUCGGCUCAACUCCUUGAGGGUUGUGUCUAGUGGUGUGGAUGGGUAGGGGAGCGUCCUGCAUCCAGGGAAGCGGCGGCGGAAGCCAGUCGUGGAGGGUGUGGGAGUGAGAAUGCAGGCAUGAGUAGCGAAUGCAGAGUGAGAAACUCUGCCGCCGGAUGACCAAGGGUUCCUGGGCCAGGCUAAUCCGCCCAGGGUAAGUCGGGACCUAAGGCGAGGCCGACAGGCGUAGUCGAUGGAUAACGGGUUGAUAUUCCCGUACCCGAGCACGUGCGCCCAGGAUGAGGCGGUUGAUACUAACCACCCAAAGCCAGCUACCAAUGUCUUCGGACGGAGGUUUCUGUGUGGAGCGUGGGAUCUGAUUCCGUAGUAGUCGAGUGAUGGGGUGACGCAGGAAGGUAGCUCCGCCAGUGAGUGGUAGUACUGGUGUAAGCGUGUAGGCCGAAACAUAGGUAAAUCCGUGUUUCAUUAAGGCUGAGACGUGAUGCGUAGCCGAUUGAGGUGAAGUAGAGUGAUCCUAUGCUGCCGAGAAAAGCCUCUAGCGAGUGCGUGCACGGCCCGUACCCCAAACCAACACAGGUGGUCAGGUAGAGAAUACUAAGGCGAUCGGGUGAACUGUGGUUAAGGAACUCGGCAAAAUGCCCCCGUAACUUCGGGAGAAGGGGGGCCAGUGUUCCUGAAGUCCCUUGCGGACUAGGGAAUGGUGGCCGCAGAGACCAGCGGAAAGCGACUGUUUACUAAAAACACAGGUCCAUGCGAAGUCGCAAGACGAUGUAUAUGGACUGACGCCUGCCCGGUGCUGGAACGUUAAGAGGACCGGUUAACCCCUUUGGGGGUGAAGCUGAGAAUUUAAGCGCCAGUAAACGGCGGUGGUAACUAUAACCAUCCUAAGGUAGCGAAAUUCCUUGUCGGGUAAGUUCCGACCUGCACGAAUGGCGUAACGACUUUCCGGCUGUCUCAACCACAGGCCCGGCGAAAUUGCACUACGAGUAAAGAUGCUCGUUACGCGCGGCAGGACGGAAAGACCCCGGGACCUUUACUAUAGUUUGGUAUUGGUUUUCGGUUCGGCUUGUGUAGGAUAGGUGGGAGACUGUGAAGCUGGCACGCUAGUGUUGGUGGAGUCGUUGUUGAAAUACCACUCUGGUCGGAUUGGGAAUCUGAACCUCGGACCAUGAUCUGGUUCAGGGACAGUGCCUGAUGGGUAGUUUAACUGGGGCGGUUGCCUCCUAAAGAGUAACGGAGGCGCCCAAAGGUUCCCUCAGCCUGGUUGGCAAUCAGGUGUUGAGUGCAAGUGCACAAGGGAGCUUGACUGUGAGACAGACAUGUCGAGCAGGGACGAAAGUCGGGACUAGUGAUCCGGCACCACCUGGUGGAAGGGGUGUCGCUCAACGGAUAAAAGGUACCCCGGGGAUAACAGGCUGAUCUUGCCCAAGAGUCCAUAUCGACGGCAUGGUUUGGCACCUCGAUGUCGGCUCGUCGCAUCCUGGGGCCGGAGUAGGUCCCAAGGGUUGGGCUGUUCGCCCAUUAAAGCGGCACGCGAGCUGGGUUUAGAACGUCGUGAGACAGUUCGGUCCCUAUCCGCCGCGCGCGUAGGAUACUUGAGGAAGGCUGUCCCUAGUACGAGAGGACCGGGACGGACGAACCUCUGGUAUGCCAGUUGUCACGCCAGUGGCAUGGCUGGUUGGCCACGUUCGGAAGGGAUAACCGCUGAAGGCAUCUAAGCGGGAAGCCUGUUCCAAGAUGAGGUAUCCCACCCUUGAUGGGUUAAGGCCCCCAACAGACCAUUGGGUUGAUAGGCCAGAAAUGGAAGCACAGUAAUGUGUUAUCGAGUUGACUGGUACUAAUAGGCCGAGGACUUGCCCACAA